GCGGAUUUAGCUCAGUUGGGAGAGCGCCAGACUGAAGAAAACUUCGGUCGGAAAUCUGGAGGUCCUGUGUUCGAUCCACAGAAUUCGCA
rfam:Ashbya gossypii ATCC 10895 chromosome VII, complete sequence.